rnacentral:lncRNA from 1 species
CUACGACAGGCGACUCCCGCUUGAAACGUCAGCGACCUCAGAACAUCCGAGCCUCUCUCAGAACGACGAUGUGAAGAGCCAUUCUGCUUCAUCGGGCAUCCCAGCCGAGCUUCAACCGAUGGAUCCGAACUCUCUGAUAAGCCACGACAAGAGCCGCCACCCUGCUCCACUCUCUGCAAUGGAUUCCAUGCAGCUCCAUCACUCUCUGGCAAGUCACGACAAUAGACACCACUCCACCCC